AGCGGCGGAUGGGUGAGUAACACGUGGGGAACCUGCCCCUAAGUCUGGGAUACCAUUUGGAAACAGGUGCUAAUACCGGAUAAUAAAGCAGAUCGCAUGAUCAGCUUUUGAAAGGCGGCGUAAGCUGUCGCUAAGGGAUGGCCCCGCGGUGCAUUAGCUAGUUGGUAAGGUAACGGCUUACCAAGGCGACGAUGCAUAGCCGAGUUGAGAGACUGAUCGGCCACAUUGGGACCGAGACACGGCCCAAACUCCUACGGGAGGCAGCAGUAGGGAAUCUUCCACAAUGGACGCAAGUCUGAUGGAGCAACGCCGCGUGAGUGAAGAAGGUUUUCGGAUCGUAAAGCUCCGUUGUUGGUGAAGAAGGAUAGAGGUAGUAACUGGCCUUUAUUUGACGGUAAUCAACCAGAAAGUCACGGCUAACUACGUGCCAGCAGCCGCGGUAAUACGUAGGUGGCAAGCGUUGUCCGGAUUUAUUGGGCGUAAAGCGAGCGCAGGCGGAAAAAUAAGUCUAAUGUGAAAGCCCUCGGCUUAACCGAGGAACUGCAUCGGAAACUGUUUUUCUUGAGUGCAGAAGAGGAGAGUGGAACUCCAUGUGUAGCGGUGGAAUGCGUAGAUAUAUGGAAGAACACCAGUGGCGAAGGCGGCUCUCUGGUCUGCAACUGACGCUGAGGCUCGAAAGCAUGGGUAGCGAACAGGAUUAGAUACCGUGGUAGUCCAUGCCGUAAACGAUGAGUGCUAAGUG
rnacentral:rRNA from 1 species